rnacentral:rRNA from 1 species
CGUAUGCAAUCUGCCUUCCACAGAGGGAUAGCCCAGAGAAAUUUGGAUUAAUACCUCAUAGCAUCAUGACCCGGCAUCGGGAUAUGAUUAAAGUCACAACGGUGGAAGAUGAGCAUGCGUCCCAUUAGCUAGUUGGUAAGGUAACGGCUUACCAAGGCUACGAUGGGUAGGGGUCCUGAGAGGGAGAUCCCCCACACUGGUACUGAGACACGGACCAGACUCCUACGGGAGGCAGCAGUGAGGAAUAUUGGUCAAUGGGCGCAAGCCUGAACCAGCCAUGCCGCGUGCAGGAUGACGGUCCUAUGGAUUGUAAACUGCUUUUGUACGGGAAGAAACCCUCCUACGUGUAGGAGCUUGACGGUACCGUAAGAAUAAGGAUCGGCUAACUCCGUGCCAGCAGCCGCGGUAAUACGGAGGAUCCAAGCGUUAUCCGGAAUCAUUGGGUUUAAAGGGUCUGUAGGCGGUCUUGUAAGUCAGUGGUGAAAGCCCAUCGCUCAACGGUGGAACGGCCAUUGAUACUGCUGGACUUGAAUUAUUGGGAAGCAACUAGAAUAUGUAGUGUAGCGGUGAAAUGCUUAGAGAUUACAUGGAAUACCAAUUGCGAAGGCAGGUUGCUACCAAUGGAUUGACGCUGAUGGACGAAAGCGUGGGUAGCGAACAGGAUUAGAUACCCUGGUAGUCCACGCCGUAAACGAUGGAUACUAGCUGUUGGGCGCAAGUUCAGUGGCUAAGCGAAAGUGAUAAGUAUCCCACCUGGGGAGUACGAACGCAAGUUUGAAACUCAAAGGAAUUGACGGGGGCCCGCACAAGCGGUGGAGCAUGUGGUUUAAUUCGAUGAUACGCGAGGAACCUUACCAAGGCUUAAAUGCAGACUGACCGGUUUGGAAACAGACCUUUCGCA